GGCUCGGAAAGCGCUCACAGCAUUGAUCCAAGCCAAGACAGGGCCUUUGUUGUCAGUUGCUCCUCGUCCGUAAAGUUUCCCUUUAAAAAGGGAAGAAGAAUGUUCAGAGAAGUGUGGAGCCUCUGCCAGGGAGGCCAGUUCUGCAGGUCAGGAGUGAAGGGCGAUUCGUGAGAGAGAAGAGUGAGGCAAAACCAAAACCAAACACCCAAAAGUCUUCCAUGUGUGAUGAGCCACUGCGUUAGACGAAAGAAUUUCUGAGCAAUGCCUAAAAUCCAGUGUUGCGGGCUUCUUUCUGCUGGCUCCUGAAGUCACAGUACUUUAACAAGGAAGGAAGAGAAAGGUCUGAGCUGGUGGCUCAUGCCUGUGAUCCCAGUACUUUGGGAAGUCGAGGUGGAGGUGAGCAGGGGCUGUGGGGAGAACCAGAGGAACUAGGCUGGUGAAGUCUCAGACCUGGAGGAGGCCGCCCUGGCCUUGAGAGACAGAUGUGCUCACAGCAAGAGGACGCUCAUCACAGACGUGCCCCCUCUUCCUGGCGUUGCUUAUUUUACAAUGGAGCAUCUGCAAGGCUAUAUGAAAAGCAGUUGGUUAUUUUACUUUUCAACCUGUCAUUUUCAUGAUUUUCUCUUAAUUACUCUCCACAAAGCAGCCUGGGUGAUCUUUUUAAAGGUGGGGCAGAUCGCAAGGCUCCCUGUUUUAACUCUUCCAAGAGGUCCCAUUGCCCUUGGGGUAAAGCAAAUAUCCCCACGACCCCCAGGUCUACAUGAUGGAGCCCACCUGCCUCUACCAGCAGCCCUCCUCCCUUGUCGGGGUACCAUGCAGGACCCCUCCAUCACUUUCAUCUGUUCCCAAAUGCAUUGCUGAAUCUUCCUCCAUGCCUCCGUGCAUCUCUUGGCCUCAAGCCCCCACAGAGCGAAGGUGAGCUGGGGAGCAUCCAAACUGAGGAGCCGCCCCACCCCCAACACACUGCACAGUGCAUCUGAAUGAAUUUGUGCGCAGGGAGCUGUGUUGUCUCUUCUAGGAAUUCACCCCAACAAAAUGUCUAGUCCUGCUGAAAAUGUCCGAGACAGCAAGAAAGAGUGUGUCUCCCUAACCAGAGUGUCACUCAGCACCUGGGCUCAGGCCAUCCCAUGCCCAACAGGAGAGCCACUUGCAGGCUGUUCUGCCUUCUGUUGGAUCACCACUGAAAUGCUACAGGGGUGUUCAGGCUUCAAGAACUUUCCAGCUAGGAUUCAGCGGGCAUAAAAUCUGAGCGAACACAGAGAACCUGCAUUCACAAAACAAGGUGGCAGAGAGAGAGCCAAUGCUGGGUGAGGGAAUGCGCAUAGAGCAGCGCAGCUGGGGUGGCAUCACGGGGAGACCACAGCCUAACAGUCGGGAGGGCCACCACCAAGUUCAGCCCUGCCAGGCUCCAGCACGGCUCCUUCAGUUUCCUCUCGCAGCCUGAAUUCCUCUGUCAUGGAGUGGGAGCCUCACAGUGGCCAAGGACCCAACCAAAGGGCUAUAAAAAAAUGUGUGGCUCUGAGCAGACAGAGGGCUCACCAGCUGCCAGGAGGGCAGUCAGAUGUGCUGUGAAAUGCAGACCCUGUCCCAUUGUGGGGUAGGGACAGUCAACAGCAGCGUCUGGGAGGAAACUGGUGCUGAACUCUGACGAGGCGGAAGGGUAAGCUUGGAGAAGGGCAGGCACUCAGCCAGAAGUUUUAACCUCUGGAAGUUUCCUCUUUUUGAAGUAGGAGAAUGCAUCAAAACUUUCUAAUAAGAGAGUCUGAAUUUCGCUGGAGAAUAAUCGAGAGAAAUUAUAAAGUUUAAGAAUAAUUACCCACAAUCUGGAGAGUGAACUGGCUUAAGGACAUGCAUACAUAUCAUCAAAUAGAACUAAAAAUCAAGAAAUAAAUCCUCACAUUAAUGAUCAACUGAUUUUCAUCAAGGGUGAGGAGAUCGUUCAGUGGGGGGAAAAUAGCCUUUUCAAUAAAUGGUGCUGGGACAAUUGAAUGUCUACAUGCAAAGGACAAAGUUUCACUCCCUUUCUCACACUAUAUAUAAGAACUAACCCAAAAUGAUCAAAGACCUAAAUGAAAGUAUUAAAACCAUAAAACUCUUUUUAAAAAAGCUGUCAAUCUUCCUACCUUCGGAUCGGGUGAUGGUUUCUUAGAUAUGGCAGCAAAAGACAAGAUGGAUAAAUAGGACUCAUUAAAAAUCAAAACAUUUGUGCUUCAAAGAACACCAUCAAGAAAAUGGAAAGACAACCCAUAGAAUGCAGGUGGGGGGUUGCAAAUCAUAUUUUUGAUAAAGGACUUACGUUGAGGAUAUAAAUAACAAGCAUGAUUCAGUAAUAAAAGACGAAUAGCCCAAUUGAAAAUGUGCAAAGGAAUUGAAUAAACGUUUCCUCAAAGAAAAUACCCAAAUGGCCAAUAAACACAUGGAAAGAGACUCAGCGUCAUUAGCCAUCAGGAAAACACAAAUCAAACCACAGGAGAUACCACUUUCUACCCACUUGGAUGGCUAGAAGGAAAAAGCCAGAUACUAACAAGUUAUGUCAAAGAUAUAGAGAAAUUGGAACCUUCAUGUACUGCUGAUGGGAAUGCAAAAGCGUGCAGCCACUGUGGAAAACAGUCUGAAAGUUACUUAAUCAAUUAAACACAGAGUCACCAUAUGACCCAGCAAUUCUACUUUUGAGUACAUAUCCAAGACAAGGGAAAACAUAUGUCCACGCAAAAACUGGUACAUGGAUAUGUAUAGCGGCAUUAUUCAUAGUAGCCAAAAGGCAGAAACAAGACAAAUGCUCAUUAACGAACGAAUGGAUAAAUAAAAUGUGGUAUAUUUCACUGAAAUAUUAUUUGGCGAUACAAGAUUAUUUUCAUCUUACGUAAAAAGGAAUGAAGUACUGACACACGCUACAACGUACACAAACUUUAAACGCAUUGUGUGAAGUGAAAUAAGCCAGACACAGCAGCCAUGUAUGGCGAUUCCAUGUACAUAACAGUCCACAGUAGGUAAAUUCAUAGAGACAGAAAGUAGAUUGUUGGUUACUGCUGGGAAAAUAGGAAGGGAGUGCUAAUGAAUAGGGGCGUCUUGGGUGAUGAAAAUGUCAUAAAACAAAUUUUGUGGCAACGGUUGUACAGUUCUGAAUAUACUAAAAACCAUUAAAAUUGUACACUUUAAAUGGGCCAGUUGUGAAGUAUAAGAAUUAUAUCACAAUACAGUCGUUAUAAAAGUAAUCAUAGCUAGGCUGGGUGCAGAGGCUCACACCUGUAAUCCCAGGACUUUGGGAGGCCAAAGUGGGCAAAUCACAAGGUCAAGAGAUCAAGACCAUCUUGGCCAACAUGGUGAAAGCCCAUCUCUACAAAAAAUACAAAAAAUUAGCUGGGCAUGGUAGCACAUGUCUGUAGUCCCAGCUACUCGGGAGGCUGAGGCAGGAGAAUCCCUUGAAUCUGGGAGGCAGAGGUUGCCAUGAGCUGAGAUUGCUGCACUACACCCUGGAGCAACAGGGCGAGACUCUGUCUGAAAAAAAAAUAAUCAUAGCUAUACAACCUCUAUUUGGCAAUACAAAUACAUUGAGUAUGAGAACUGUCAUAGAGGAAGCUACACAGUGGUUAAAAUCAAGGUCAAGGUGAGCAAUGCUCAUUUAUGAGCUGAUUAAGAACUGAGUCCGGCAGGUGGUGCUGAUGAGCCGCUCAUGAUCUCCCCGGCUGCCCUGCACCCAGAAGACUGAAGCCUGAUCCAGCUCAGCUCUGUGGGACACACACAUUGGGGAGCACCACACACUGGGGUCUGU